CCAACUUCGGCUCCAACGAUGAUGACGUCAGUACCAUGGUCUUUUCUCAUCUACCGCAUUAUCCACAAGUCUGUUAUUAUCUUGCUCCAGAUGGCUACUAGGGAAAAUGUCCAAGUCAACACGAUAGUUUAGUAGCAUCUAUCACUACAAUUAACGGCAAAUCCAUAUCUAUAAGGGUUUAGGGUUUAGGAUUUAGUAUUUGCCUGUUACUUUAGUCUUUAUAUGGCUUUUAAGAGAAUUUACAAAAGCACAAACGUGACAUCAUCACAUACAUGAUUAUAUCCAAACUUCUGAUAAAUCAAAAAGAAAAUCAUAGUGAAUAAACACAUUUCACAAUGAAUGAUGUCACUUCUUGUUUCGUGUUCCGUUU
rnacentral:sRNA from 1 species